UACCGGUAUAAUUAAUUCUUUAGUGGUGAUUGUUGAUACUAGUUCUUAAAAGUUAGCACCCAUAUUCUAAUUUUUUGAGAUAAUUAACUUUUAAGACCUGUUGAUACUGACAGUAUUAAACUCAAACAAUCUAGUCAAAUGGGUAGCGUUCAACGUGUACUAAUUCUUGGAGUGAACCUUCAGAGAGCGCAAAAGAAGAUGAAAUUUCUCUACUCAACACAUCUUGUGCGAAACCCAGAGAUGCACAAAAAGGCCUUUAUGAUGAGCUGCAUACAUGCUAAAAUACUAGAUUCAUGGAAGAUAAAUUGCGUAGGAGAUUGCAAUUUUUUUUUAUGAAUUCUAUUGAAAAAUAGGAAGCUAAAAGAAGAUUUCCUUACAAAUUGGUAAUGCAAGUCAUAGAAAUAUUUUUGGUUGCUCUGCAGCUUUCUUUGUUUGCUCAUAACAACAACAUGCACGUAAAUUAUAUUUAGAAUAAUAGAAUAAUUUUCUUACAUUUAUUUCUUCAAGGCUGGGUUGCUAAACAAGAAGUUCCAGCAUAUCCUCCUGCUACUAGACCUUUAACCAUUUAUAAAAAAGAUGAUUUUAUUUUAAUGAUACAAUGGAUUAUGCAUUGCAAGAUUAUUACAAUCUUAGCAAUGCAAUUGGCGCUUAUUCUCACAAUACUGGC